rnacentral:rRNA from 1 species
AUUGAACGCUGGCGGCAGGCCUAACACAUGCAAGUCGAACGGUAAUAGGAAACAGCUUGCUGUUUCGCUGACGAGUGGCGGACGGGUGAGUAAUGUCUGGGAAACUGCCUGAUGGAGGGGGAUAACUACUGGAAACGGUAGCUAAUACCGCAUAACGUCGCAAGACCAAAGAGGGGGACCUUCGGGCCUCUUGCCAUCGGAUGUGCCCAGAUGGGAUUAGCUAGUAGGUGGGUAACGGCUCACCUAGGCGACGAUCCCUAGCUGGUCUGAGAGGGUGAACGGCCACAUUGGGACUGAGACACGGCCCAGACUCCUACGGGAGGCAGCAGUGGGGAAUAUUGCACAAUGGGGGAAACCCUGAUGCAGCGACGCCGCGUGAA